rnacentral:rRNA from 1 species
GCGAGAAAACUUUGCAAUGUGCGAAAGCACGACAAGGUUAAUCCGAGUGGUUUCUGCUAAAGAAACCUUUUGCUAGUCCUAGAAACACUAGUGAAUAAGGGGUGGGCAAGUUCUGGUGUCAGCCGCCGCGGUAAAACCAGCACCUCAAGUGGUCAGGAUGAUUAUUGGGCCUAAAGCAUCCGUAGCUCGUUUUGUAAGUUUUCGGUUAAAUCCAUACGCUUAACGUAUGGGCUGCCGGGAAUACUGCAUAACUAGGAAGUGGGAGAGGUAGACGGUACUCGGUAGGAAGGGGUAAAAUCCUUUGAUCUAUUGAUGACCACCUGUGGCGAAGGCGGUCUACCAGAACACGUUCGACGGUGAGGGAUGAAAGCUGGGGGAGCAAACCGGAUUAGAUACCCAGGUAGUCCCUGAGCGGGCUGGCAAGGCGCAU